AUUGAACGCUGGCGGCAUGCCUUACACAUGCAAGUCGAACGGUAACAGGUCUUCGGAUGCUGACGAGUGGCGAACGGGUGAGUAAUACAUCGGAACGUGCCCGAUCGUGGGGGAUAACGGAGCGAAAGCUUUGCUAAUACCGCAUACGAUCUACGGAUGAAAGCAGGGGACCGCAAGGCCUUGCGCGGACGGAGCGGCCGAUGGCAGAUUAGGUAGUUGGUGGGAUAAAAGCUUACCAAGCCGACGAUCUGUAGCUGGUCUGAGAGGACGACCAGCCACACUGGGACUGAGACACGGCCCAGACUCCUACGGGAGUCAGCAGUGGGGAAUUUUGGACAAUGGGCGAAAGCCUGAUCCAGCCAUGCCGCGUGCAGGAUGAAGGCCUUCGGGUUGUAAACUGCUUUUGUACGGAACGAAAAGACUCUUUCUAAUAAAGAGGGUCCAUGACGGUACCGUAAGAAUAAGCACCGGCUAACUACGUG
rnacentral:rRNA from 1 species